AUACAGACCCGGUGAGGAGGAAAGGAAACAAAAGGAUCUUUGUCAGCGACUCCUACUGAUUACGAGAGUUCCUUAUCAGUUUUAAUCAGGUUUUGAGUUGGACUGAUUGGCCUUUGGGCAUGUGAAUUAUUUUAAGGAUCAACAUGAAUGAUUCUACACAUGGCUUUCAGCAGGUGAUGCAGGGAGAUCAAGUCUGGGAGGUCAGGUUUGGAAUCCAUAGAGAUGCUAGCUUGGGAGAGGUGAUAGCAAAGCUUCAAAAUUCGAACAAAAUAGUGAUCCCAUAUUGAAUUCAUUAAUGAAGCUCUAAACUUUAGGGAGAAAAGAAAAUGCUUGGUGAUGGAGGGGAAUCCCCUUCUAGGUAUCAGUUGUUGAGUAUGGUGAAGAGACAUUCAAAUUUAAUAGGAAAGUUGUAGUAGAUGAGCAAGAUGCUUCAGAUAUUGAAAUGGAUCAAAAGUUUUGGCAUGAUGUCUUAGAUUUAUAUUUCAUUGGUGGAAGGGAUUCAAAAGAACAACAUGAUGGUGAUCUCUUAUUCUUUUUUUAGGAAAAUGUUUCAGGGCUUGCAUGGAUAUGGCUUCAAUGAUAAAAUAUUGUUGCAUUUACCUCAAGUAAAAGAUCUAUCAUCCAAAAGCUCAAACUCAAAUUUCAAGAUUCUAGAACCCGAAGAUUUCAAUGACCAUAGUUGGUUCACAACAGCCUCAUUGAGAAGGUCCAUAUCAUAUUUAAUCUUCAUCCUACUUUUCUUCUUCUUCUUCUUUUUCAAUAAAUUAAGAGGUUGUCCACUGCUUGCUUAUCAGAGUGGUUUCAAUUCACCAGAUUCCUGCAAAUUCUUGGUUCAGAAGACAUUCUUACAAUUAGAAAUAAAAUUUCUCAACUAGAAUAAACCAGAAAUUCCAACUUUCUUUGUUUGCAAAGGAUUUCUUAUUUCAUACUAGACUCAUCGACCCCAAUCUUUAAUAUCUUUCUUCAUUUUGUUUCUGUGUUUUUUGGUUUAGGACUGGAAUUUAGUAUUUUUUUUGGUUCAUCGGUUUAUUCCAAAGAAACUGCUUCCAAGAACCCCUUCUCAACUGACAUCUACUCCCCAAGGUUUACCAAUCGAUCUGAUACUAGACUUUAUCCACUUGGAAGUUUUUUUUCGUCCCGAACUUAGAAAAAAAGAUACAUUGCUAAUAUUUUUAUAAAACAUUUAUUGUAGCACCUGGUUCCUGGUACGUAUGACCUAUCUAAGUAAUUUACAUUUUUAGCCUUGGACUCGGCGAGUUGUAGGCCCGACUUGCCGAGUAGAGCCGGGAUAUUUGAGCACGUUUAAGUUGGCGACUCGGCGAGUCCAUAUUAUGGACUCGGCGAGUCCCCGCUGUCUGGAUGAAACCCUAAUUUCAAGGGUUUGCACCCUAUUUAAACCAACCUUAUGCGCCCCAAGCCCGACUCCUUCACCCUCAGAGCUUCCUAUAUCGUCCUAACCCCGUUUCUUGUGAGAUUGAAGUGUUUUGGUGUGAUUUCUUGAAGAUUUUGAGAGAAAAAGGAGGGUAGAUCAAGAGGAGAAGAAGGAGGUCAGAUAUCUUGGUGUUAUUUCAGAGAUUCUUUGAGGUAUAACUCAGUUUCCUUCUGUUUUUAUGCUAAGAGUCCCUUAGAGCACCAUUAGAGUCCUUCUUGAGCCAUUUCCAAGCUUGUUUAUGGAUUAGGGAUGGUAAUGAGUUGAUUAACCUCUAGAUCUAGGCAUGUUUGAGCUCCAGGAGCUCAGAUCCAUGGCCUUUAUGGAAGUAAAUUGCUUGAAUGUCCUAGAUCUACCAUUUUAGCCUUUAUUAAGCCUUAAAUCCCCAUCCUAUGCAUGUAUACACGUAAAGUUGGAAACUUUACGUGUAAAACCUACCCUAAGAGCCCAGAUCUAUGUAUGGCAUGAGUUGGAUUCAAGCAAAAUCGAGUAUGUAGUAACUGCAUGAGAACGACUCGACGAGUCGUUCAUCGGACUCGACGAGUCGAGUCGCGAG